rnacentral:rRNA from 1 species
GAUGAACGCUGGCGGCGUGCCUAACACAUGCAAGUCGAACGGAGAUUACGGACGGAAGUUUUCGGAUGGAAGCCUGUAAUUCUUAGUGGCGGACGGGUGAGUAACGCGUGGGCAACCUGCCCUAUACAGGGGGAUAGCAGCUGGAAACGGCUGGUAAGACCGCAUAAGUCGGUUAAAUCGCAUGAUUUGAUCGGGAAAUGAGCAAUCAGGUAUAGGAUGGGCCCGCGUCCGAUUAGCCAGUUGGCAGGGUAAAAGCCUACCAAAGCGACGAUCGGUAGCCGGACUGAGAGGUCGGACGGCCACAUUGGGACUGAGACACGGCCCAAACUCCUACGGGAGGCAGCAGUGGGGGAUAUUGCACAAUGGAGGAAACUCUGAUGCAGCGACGCCGCGUGAGUGAAGGAGUAUUUCGGUAUGUAAAGCUCUAUCAGCAGGGAAGAUGAUGACGGUACCUGACUAAGAAGCCCCGGCUAACUACGUG